rnacentral:rRNA from 1 species
UUUGUUACUUCAAACCAAUCGGACUUCGGUCUGACAUCAAGUGAUACUGAACAAUUUAGCUGAUCGCACGGUCUAAGAACCGGCGACAUAUCCUUCAAAUGUCUGCCUUAUCAACUUUCGAUGGUAGAUUAUGCGCCUACCAUGGUUGUAACGGGUAACGGAGAAUCAGGGUUUGAUUCCGGAGAGGGAGCCUGAGAAACGGCUACCACAUCCAAGGGAGGCAGCAGGCACGCAAAUUACCCACUCCCGGCACGGGGAGGUAGUGACGAAAAAUAACAAGCUGGUCUCAAUGAGUUCCAGCAUUGUAAUGGGAACAAUUUAAAUCUUUUAUCGAGGAUCUAUUGGAGGGCAAGUCUGGUGCCAGCAGCCGCGGUAAUUCCAGCUCCAAUAGCGUAUAUUAAAGUUGUUGCGGUUAAAAAGCUCGUAGUUGGAUCUAGGAUUAGGGCUACGGUCGUUCAGCUUGGACGUACUGUAUGCCCGACUCCUUUUCUCUAGUAUUCGAUUGUUGCUCUUAAAUGAGUGACUUUAGUUGCUGGAACUUUUACCUUGAAAAAAUUGAAGUGCUCAAAGCAGGUU